UUAAUGAGAGUUUGAUCCUGGCUCAGGACGAACGCUGGCGGCGUGCCUAAUACAUGCAAGUAGAACGCUGAAGAGAGGAGCUUGCUCUUCUUGGAUGAGUUGCGAACGGGUGAGUAACGCGUAGGUAACCUGCCUUGUAGCGGGGGAUAACUAUUGGAAACGAUAGCUAAUACCGCAUAACAAUGGNNUGCUCCACUACAAGAUGGACCUGCGUUGUAUUAGCUAGUAGGUGAGGUAACGGCUCACCUAGGCGACGAUACAUAGCCGACCUGAGAGGGUGAUCGGCCACACUGGGACUGAGACACGGCCCAGACUCCUACGGGAGGCAGCAGUAGGGAAUCUUCGGCAAUGGGGGCAACCCUGACCGAGCAACGCCGCGUGAGUGAAGAAGGUUUUCGGAUCGUAAAGCUCUGUUGUAAGUCAAGAACGAGUGUGAGAGUGGAAAGUUCACACUGUGACGGUAGCUUACCAGAAAGGGACGGCUAACUACGUGCCAGCAGCCGCGGUAAUACGUAGGUCCCGAGCGUUGUCCGGAUUUAUUGGGCGUAAAGCGAGCGCAGGCGGUUUGAUAAGUCUGAAGUUAAAGGCUGUGGCUCAACCAUAGUUCGCUUUGGAAACUGUCAAACUUGAGUGCAGAAGGGGAGAGUGGAAUUCCAUGUGUAGCGGUGAAAUGCGUAGAUAUAUGGAGGAACACCGGUGGCGAAAGCGGCUCUCUGGUCUGUAACUGACGCUGAGGCUCGAAAGCGUGGGGAGCGAACAGGAUUAGAUACCCUGGUAGUCCACGCCGUAAACGAUGAGUGCUAGGUGUUGGAUCCUUUCCGGGAUUCAGUGCCGCAGCUAACGCAUUAAGCACUCCGCCUGGGGAGUACGACCGCAAGGUUGAAACUCAAAGGAAUUGACGGGGGCCCGCACAAGCGGUGGAGCAUGUGGUUUAAUUCGAAGCAACGCGAAGAACCUUACCAGGUCUUGACAUCCCGAUGCUAUUUCUAGAGAUAGAAAGUUACUUCGGUACAUCGGUGACAGGUGGUGCAUGGUUGUCGUCAGCUCGUGUCGUGAGAUGUUGGGUUAAGUCCCGCAACGAGCGCAACCCCUAUUGUUAGUUGCCAUCAUUCAGUUGGGCACUCUAGCGAGACUGCCGGUAAUAAACCGGAGGAAGGUGGGGAUGACGUCAAAUCAUCAUGCCCCUUAUGACCUGGGCUACACACGUGCUACAAUGGUUGGUACAACGAGUUGCGAGUCGGUGACGGCAAGCUAAUCUCUUAAAGCCAAUCUCAGUUCGGAUUGUAGGCUGCAACUCGCCUACAUGAAGUCGGAAUCGCUAGUAAUCGCGGAUCAGCACGCCGCGGUGAAUACGUUCCCGGGCCUUGUACACACCGCCCGUCACACCACGAGAGUUUGUAACACCCGAAGUCGGUGAGGUAACCUUUUGGAGCCAGCCGCCUAAGGUGGGAUAGAUGAUUGGGGUGAAGUCGUAACAAGGUAGCCGUAUCGGAAGGUGCGGCUGGAUCACCUCCUUUCUAAGGAA
rnacentral:rRNA from 1 species